rnacentral:lncRNA from 1 species
UUAUCCUUUUCAGCCUAGUGAACUGGUGUGCAUGGCAAGUGGUGUCGUGAGAUGGAGGGUAGAGUGGUGGAACAAAGGCCUGUUCAUUGCAGGGAGGCAGAAAGGAAACUUCCUUGUGGAUGUGUUUGAAUGGGAGACAGCAACGAACCACCGUGGGGGAGGAAGGAUGUGCCGGGUGCCCAGGCGUGCCGCGGGCCAGCGAUGCGCCCCGCGCUGCUUGCGUCCCCUGCCUCAGCUCAGGAAUUCGUGUCAAAUCACGUAGCAGCUGGUUGGAAGAGGUAGCCCAGCGUUAUUCUCAAAAURUGCCGUCGUUCCUUCACAUUCAGAUGAGCUAUUCUCUUUAGGUUAACUGCUGCUUGAGUUCUACAGUGUCUUUCAGGGAAUGUAAAGUAAAUAGAGCACCUUUUAUACCAGGGGAUCAACGUACUAACUUAUGGCCAAAUUUGAAGCCUUUACCCAAGGCAAAAUACAAUUAAAGUCAGGGARAACUUGACCUGAGUGAGGACUUUGGUAUUUGAUCUGUGAAUUUUACUUUUCUUCAUUUUUAUUAUUUUCAUAUGGUAGUACAGCUAUUUCUCCUGGUGGUAAUUGUACAUUGUACUGGAUAUUGAAUUCCUUGCAGURAAGGAGUAACCUCUUGAAACAUAAUCUUACAUGGUGUGCGAUCUAAAGAGCUUAAUUCUUAUUGGAAUAACAAGUUUAAAAAUAUAUAUUUUUAAAGCACAUCCAUGACAUUUUUGUUAACCUAGUUCUAAUGGUGAUCUAGCAGUAACAGUAAAGUAUGAAAAGCUAAGAACAGGCCAAGAUCUCAUCUGACCUAACUCAUUGAUUCACUCUCUGACCUUGGGUAAGCCUUUUGACCUGCCUGUGCCUCAGUCAACUCAGCUGGAAAAUUGGGUAAAGAGCAGAGCCUGUUAGAAAACCAUCUUCAAUUUGAACAAAGAUUUCCUGGAGACCCAAAAAAGUGAGUGUAGUCAUUUUGUCCAGACAUAAUUGAUUGUGGCCCACACAAAAAUAACAUCCUGAGCUGUGGGAUACAAUUGAUGACAUCUCAUUCAUUGUGUGGUGACUGGGUGGUCUCUGCUUCCACUGUAGCUCGUCCACAUUUCAUGUGUUCAAAGCUGUAUUUUCGCUUUCAUGGCAUUAGCCUAGC